rnacentral:rRNA from 1 species
GACGAACGCUGGCGGCGUGCUUAACACAUGCAAGUCGAACGAUGAACCGGUUUCGGCCGGGGAUUAGUGGCGAACGGGUGAGUAACACGUGGGCAAUCUGCCCUGCACUCUGGGAUAAGCCCGGGAAACUGGGUCUAAUACCGGAUACGACACUCCGAGGCAUCUUGGGGUGUGGAAAGUUCCGGCGGUGCAGGAUGAGCCCGCGCUGCAUUAGCUAGUUGGUGAGGUAAUGGCCUACCAAGGCAACGAUGCGUAGCCGACCUGAGAGGGUGAUCGGCCACACUGGACCUGCGACACGGUCCAGACUCCUACGGGAGGCAGCAGUCGCGAAUCUUCCGCAAUGGGCGAAAGCCUGACGGAGCAACGCCGCGUGAGUGAUGAAGGUCUUCGGAUCGUAAAACUCUGUUAUUAGGGAAGAACAUAUGUGUAAGUAACUGUGCACAUCUUGACGGUACCUACUCAGAAAGCCACGGCUAACUACGUG